rnacentral:rRNA from 1 species
AGGACGAACGCUGGCGGCGUGCUUAACACAUGCAAGUCGAACGGAAAGGCCCGCUUGCGGGUACUCGAGUGGCGAACGGGUGAGUAACACGUGGGCAACCUGCCCUCAGCUCUGGGAUAACUCCGGGAAACCGGUGCUAAUACUGGAUAUCGACUUCUGCCUCGCAUGGGGUGUUGUUGAAAGUUUUUCGGCUGGGGAUGGGCCCGCGGCCUAUCAGCUUGUUGGUGGGGUGAUGGCCUACCAAGGCGACGACGGGUAGCCGGCCUGAGAGGGCGACCGGCCACACUGGGACUGAGACACGGCCCAGACUCCUACGGGAGGCAGCAGUGGGGAAUAUUGCGCAAUGGGCGGAAGCCUGACGCAGCGACGCCGCGUGAGGGAUGACGGCCUUCGGGUUGUAAACCUCUUUCAGCUCUGACGAAGCGAGAGUGACGGUAGGAGCAGAAGAAGCACCGGCCAACUACGUGCCAGCAGCCGCGGUAA